rnacentral:rRNA from 1 species
UAAGGAAUAUUGGACAAUGGUCGCAAGACUGAUCCAGCCAUGCCGCGUGCAGGAAGACGGCCCUAUGGGUUGUAAACUGCUUUUGUACCAGAGAAAACCUAUCUACGUGUAGAUAGCUGAUAGUAUGGUAAGAAUAAGCAUCGGCUAACUUCGUGCUAGCAGCCGCGGUAAGACGAGGGAUGCAAGCGUUAUCCGGAUUCAUUGGGUUUAAAGGGUGCGUAGGCGGGCUUGUAAGUCAGUGGUGAAAUCUCUCAGCUUAACUGAGAAACUGCCAUUGAUACUGCAGGCCUAGAGUAUAGAUGACGUUGGCGGAAUAUGACAUGUAGUGGUGAAAUACUUAGAUAUGUCAUAGAACACCGAUUGCGAAGGCAGCUAACGAAACUAUAACUGACGCUGAGGCACGAAAGUGCGGGGAUCAAACA